rnacentral:rRNA from 1 species
AUGAAGGACCACUGUGUUGUGUACACCGCUGACAGGGUGUGGUUCGAGGUGCCGCUAGCAUACCUUGGGACAUUGAUCUUCUGCGAGCUGCUGACGAUGUCCGAGGAGGAGUUCGGCUUUGCAGGCGGCGAUGACAGGAGGAUCAUGCUGCCCUGCAAUGCCGCUGUCAUGGAAUACACCGUGUGCUUGCUCCAGAGAGAUGCCUCCACGGAAGUCGUGAAGGCAUUCAUGAGCUCUGUCGCAAAGCCGUGCAGUUGGUGCUUUGGAAUACAAAGCGGGGGGAAACCCUUUUUCGGUAAGGCAGUGUAG